rnacentral:rRNA from 1 species
UACGUAGGGUGCAAGCGUUGUCCGGAAUUAUUGGGCGUAAAGAGCUCGUAGGCGGUUUGUCGCGUCUGCUGUGAAAACUCAGGGCUUAACUCUGAGCUUGCAGUGGGUACGGGCAGACUAGAGUGCGGUAGGGGAGACUGGAAUUCCUGGUGUAGCGGUGAAAUGCGCAGAUAUCAGGAGGAACACCGGUGGCGAAGGCGGGUCUCUGGGCCGUAACUGGACGCUGGAGGAGCGAAAGCAUGGGGAGCGAACAGG